GCGGCCGCGGGACACGCUCAGCGACCUGCGCGCCCAGCUGGUGGGCCAGGGCGUGAGCUCCUGGAAGCGCGCCUUUUACUACAACGCGCGGCGGCUGGACGACCACCAGACGGUGCGCGACGCGCGCCUGCAGGACGGCUCGGUGCUGCUGCUCGUCAGCGACCCCAGAUAGUCUGGGUUGGAGGAGGCAGAGCCGUGACCGAGGGGACCUGGGUACUGGCUGAAGGAAUAGGCUGGGGCAGAGGGCACUUUUGGAAGGCACUUCUCCCGCCUCCCGGGAGCCUAGAUCUCACUCCAGGGUCUGGGCUCCCAGGUGGACCGUGAAACCCUGGCCUGACCAGCUGAUGCACACUGCUUCAGACACUCCCGCUGGAGCCCCAGUCCCUGACAUGGACCUAGGACAUUUUUGCCCCUGCCCAGCCUAUUGGGAGGGAGCCUUGAGCCUUUCAGCUCUGCUGUGUGACUUUGAGGUUGUUGCUCCCCUCUUGGGGCCCUGGGUGCCCUGUCUCAGUGGAAAGCACUCAGUGCCCUUGGAAAGCUCCCAUGGGCAGCCAGAGGGCAUCGCAAGAAGAGAAGCAUAGAGAGGGCAGGAGAGGCACUCAGAGGCACUUCCCUCUUGCCCAGGACAUUCUCCCAGCCACACCUUUGCCCAAGCCGUGCCCCCUGCCUGGAGCACUUUUCAACCUCUUCUCUGCAGCUCCAAUACACCUGGGAUUAAAGUCUCCUCCAGGAAGUCUUCUCAGAUUCCCUCCUUCCCAGCCAGAGAGCACCUAGCCCUCUUUGGGGCCCCCACAGACCCUUUGUGCAGUGAACAGCCCUGGCUGGGGGUUGUGCAGCCAGUCCUGUCCAAACUCUUCAAUGACUAAGCGGGGAGAUGCGGAUAUCCCAGCUCCUUCUCAGGCCUCCAACUGCACCCCAUUUCCACCCCCAAAUACCUCCCCAGGAGGCACCCGUGCCCACCCCCUGGUCGGUUUCCCCCUUCCCCUUAAAUCCGGAUGGCUCGUUGUCUGCAUAGGGUCUUGGGGCGGCGGAGGGGGCGGGGGUCUGAAGAACUCUGGCCAAGAGGACGAGGAUCUGGGGGUGGGGAACUGGGCCUAGGCGUGGGAGGUCAUCGCUGGGCAUUGCAGGGAGUGCGUUGUGGGAAUUCCGGGUGGAGACCCUCAGGGCAGUGUGCCGGGCCUCCGUUGCACCUCUGACCUGCAGCCGAGUCACCAUUGCGCAGCCCCUGGGGAGGGUCUUUGGGGAGGUGGUGCAGGGGCUACGCGUGUCCUUGAGGGCCAUGUUCACUCUCCGGGCACCAUGGGCGGAGGCGCCGGAGCCUGGGAAGAAAUAAUGUUUUAAUUAAGAGUCCUGUUGGCCGCAGGACUCAGGGCGUGGACAGGUGGAUAGUAAAUCACCACCAUGGGGACAGCCGCGCCCAGACGGUGCGUUUGCUUAGCUCGGGGACGGCACUUGGCCCCGGGGGCUCCUGCUUGCCUCCCCUCAGAGCAUCUGCCAAACUUCGGGCAUCUACCCUCCAA